GGCGGAUCGUCGUCGGCUCAACACCUCACUGGAGGGCUUUGCGCAUUUUUUGUGAAAAAAACAUUUAAUUAUCCACAAAAUAAAGCACAAAUAUUUAAAAAAAAACAGUUUUAUCUUUUUUUUUCAAAAGUUCAGAUAAAAUGAAACUUUCAAAACAAUAACAACCUUACAUCUCAGGUUUUGAUAACAUAAUUUACUAAUUGCGUGAAUGUAAUAAUUAAAAAAAAAUACUAGACAGUGACAAAAAACAAAAACAAUUACAGAUGAUAACUGAAAAUCUCAAACCACGACCCGUGAGUGUGAACUCACUUCGCGGAGCAAAACAAAGACACGCGGCGCGCGCGUGGCUCGCUACCGUUUAAAAAUAGAAUGCACCGAACUAACGACCAGUUUACGAGCGACUUCCUCGCCCUUCGCGCUUUAUUAAAAUUAUAAUCGGACGGCAGGAGUACGGAGGUCGAGCGGCUCUGGUUUGGCUUUCUCGGCUUUUCAUGAUGACCACGCCUCGGUUUUUAAAGUUGUUUGUUCUUAAUUCAAAUUCGUAUACAGACUUCUUGCCGGUUCCGAUUUUAAUUAAAAGACAGGUUUAUGCUUCAAGUAUUUAGCAAAAAAAUAUGAAAAUAAAGAAUAUUUUCUAGUAACAUCAUCUCCAAUUAUUAUAUUAAGCACGACUAUUUCAAAAUAAUGAAGACAAUAGAGUCAUUUACAGAUUAUUAUUAUGGUAUAGUCGUUAAAAGGAGAAUGUUUGCAGACAUUUUUGUUCUCAUUAAAGUAAUAUAAAAUUUGUGAAUAUAUUGCACCAUAUUUUUUAAAUAAAAAGAUAUAAAGUUUAAA